ACGGCUAAUACCGCAUAAUCUCUACGGAGCAAAGGGGGCUUUUAGCUCUCGCCUUUAGAUUGGCCCAAGUGGUUUUAGCUAGUUGGUGAGGUAAUGGCUCACCAAGGCGACAAUCCCUACCUGGUUUGAAAGGAUGAUCAGCCACACUGGAACUGAGACACGGUCCAAACUCCUACGGGAGGCAGCAGUGGGGAAUAUUGCACAAUGGGCGCAAGCCUGAUGCACCCAUGCCGCGUGUGUGAAGAAGGCCUUCGGGUUGUAAAGCACUUUCAGUCAGGAGGAAAGGUUAGUAGUUAAUACCUGCUAGCUGUGACGUUACGGACUUAAAAAGCACCGGCUAACUCCGUGCCACCAGCCACGGUAAUACGGAGGGUGCGAGCGUUAAUCGGAUUUACUGGGCGUAAAGCGUACGCAGGCGGUUUGUUAAGCAAGAUGUGAA
rnacentral:rRNA from 1 species